ACCAGUAUGGUGUAGUGGUUUGAGUGUUGGACUAUGACUCUGGAGAACAGGGUUUGAAUCCCUGUUUGAGCA